rnacentral:misc_RNA from 1 species
CACAUGAAGUGUACAGCAGGAAGAUCUAGGGUGAAAGUGCAAGCAGUGCACUUGCUGAGCUGAAAGAUCCUUGCAUUAGUCCUAAGAUCCUGAAUUUCUUUUCUCAUUGCCAAUGUGUCGUCCUGAUACUUCUCAAUUGCUCGACGAUCCUCUUCAAUAAGCUUUGACUCUUGUUCAAGCUUCCGAGCUAUAUAAUCCUUGAUGACAGAGAGUGUGAGGCAUGGAUUUCUGGACAAGGUCUGAAGAACAAUAAUAGGAGGCAGGAUGUCAUCUCUUUCUAUAUAAGUCAAAACUUCCUUCACUUCUUUGGAGCAAUCUUCUCCUAGUUCACCAAAAUAUUUCAGCAAAUCAGCCCAAAGAGAUGGGUCACCUCCCUUACCUGAAUCUCCCAGCCUUUUGCAGCAUGCAAUUAAACCCUCAUGAUCAUGGGCCAGCAUGUAGCAAGCAAUCACCUCUUUAUAUAGUUUCAUCUUUUCAUAUAGAUAUAAAAGCCCUUCUCUAAAUCCAUUCAUUUCACAGAGUAUUAUAGCAAGAUCAACAUCAUAAAGUGGAUGCUCCAGGUCAGAUGGCCAUGCACUCUUCAGCAAGCAUAGUCCUUUCUCACGCCUUUCUCUGUGCUCUUUUUCCUUGGAUGUAUCUUUGUGAUCAACAAUCAAUUUCCCAUUGGAUUCUGCUUUCAAUUUCCUAGGUGCUCCUGAUUUUGCUCCGAGAGAAAGAUCUACACCAUUGCUAGCUUGUGAUAUUGAUGGAAAGUUCAAAUCAUUUGACAGGUACAGUUCCAAAAGUGUAUUGUGAAUUUCUACCUGAGCAGGAGAAUCCUUUACCUUGUCAGUAUAUUUUUCAAGAAAGUCCAUAAGAGACUGUGGGUGAUGCAUGAAAAUGUUGAGAAAAUCAACAGGUGAUGGCAACAUAGAUAAGUAUGCAGCACUCGAAGAUCCUCUCUUAGCUGAUUCCCCAUCCUCAGUGCAAAGCCUCAUGAGUAUCUCAAUUGUCUCAACUGGCUUGUGCUCUAUAAGAAUUUUACCAUAUUCUUUCACAGUAACCCCAGCCUGACUUGGUUCAAGGCUUGAAAUAUACUGCAAGGCCUCAUCAUAUCGGCCAAGGUCUUCAAGCAAGAUCUUUAGAUACAGUUCAUGCCUCCCUGCCUUCUUAGCAACAUACAUUGCAUGCACAUGGUAAUUGGCAGCGCGGCAGACCCUUAUUGCAGUCUCCACAUCAAACUUGUGUUCCCCAACUCCAUCCUCACUUUUAAUAAAUACAUUCAG